AUUGAACGCUGGCGGCAGGCCUAACACAUGCAAGUCGAACGAGUGGCGGACGGGUGAGUAAUGUCUGGGAAACUGCCCGAUGGAGGGGGAUAACUACUGGAAACGGUAGCUAAUACCGCCUACACUCAGAUGUGCCCAGAUGGGAUUAGCGUGUUGGUGGGGUAACGGCUCACAAGGGCGACGAUCCCUAGCUGGUCGGAGAGUAUGACCAGCAACACUGGAACUGAGACACGGUCCAGCCUCCUACGGGAGGAGUCAUGGGGGAAUAUUGGAAAAGGGGCGCAAGCCGGAUGAAGCCAUGCGGCGGGUAGGUAGAGGGCCUUCGGGUUGUAAAGUACGUUCAGCGGGGAGGCGUUACCCGCAGAAGAAGCACCGGCUAACUCCGUGCCAGCAGCCGCGGUAAUAC
rnacentral:rRNA from 1 species